rnacentral:rRNA from 1 species
UACGUAGGGGGCAAGCGUUGUCCGGAUUUAUUGGGCGUAAAGAGCGUGUAGGCGGUUCGGUAGGUCCGUUGUGAAAACUCGAGCUCAACCUCGAGACGCCGAUGGAAACCCCCGAACCUAGAGUCCGGAAGAGGAGAAUGGAAUUCCUGGUGUAGCGGUGAAAUGCGCAGAUAUCAGGAAGAACACCCGUGGCUAAGGCGGUUCUCUAGUACGGUACUGACGCUGAGACGCGAAAGCGUGGGGAGCGAACAGG